GUGGGGAAUAUUGCGCAAUGGGGGAAACCCUGACGCAGCAACGCCGCGUGAGCGAUGAAGGUCUUCGGAUUGUAAAGCUCUGUCUUUAGGGACGAUAAUGACGGUACCUAAGGAGGAAGCCACGGCUAACUACGUGCCAGCAGCCGCGGUAAUACGUAGGUGGCAAGCGUUGUCCGGAUUUACUGGGCGUAAAGAGUAUGUAGGCGGAUAUUUAAGUCAGAUGUGAAAUUCCCGGGCUUAACCUGGGCGCUGCAUUUGAUACUGGAUAUCUAGAGUGUGGGAGAGGAAAGCGGAAUUCCUAGUGUAGCGGUGAAAUGCGUAGAGAUUAGGAAGAACACCAGUGGCGAAGGCGGCUUUCUGGACCAUAACUGACGCUGAGAUACGAAAGCGUGGGGAGCAAACAGGAUUAGAAACCCUAGUAGUCC
rnacentral:rRNA from 1 species